CAGGAACACAGAAAAAUUCCCCGCACAAGUGCCGGAGCAGAAGCGGGGCCGGCUACCUGGUGUGGCUUCUUGGAGGUGGACACACCCCAGCUGAGAAAGUGUAUGCCCAGGAGAGAAGGUUUAUCUUUGCAGAGAUCGCUCCGGCAGCCCGGACAGAGGAGUGAGAGGGGCUGCUCAGGGAGACGAUGGAGGCCUGGCUGGGGCCCUGAGGCCAACGAGGGGUGCAGAGACUGGCCGAGGGGGCCACAGCCUGGCUGGGACCUCAGCUGGGGGCAACCUGCCCUGUGAAGGAAGACUACAAAGCCCAUUUUACAGAUGAAGAAACUGAGGCCCAAGAGGUUUCGAGACCUGUCCAGCAAGUAUCUGUUACAGUUGGGACUGCAAGGCCAGUCUUCAGACUUCAGGACACCUGCUGUCCCCUCCGACCAUUCUGUCCCCCCUCAGGUGUCAGGCAGGCCCCUUCCAACCUCUGUAAAGGCCCCCACACAUCUCAGUUACCAUCCAGGCACGCCAGGGCCUCCUGGGCUCUGCUGAGCUGUCCAGGGUCCUGGCCAGGCCCAGCCUUGCCCCGAAGUCUACUCUGAUCCCCCCCAGGCUAUCACUUCUGCCCGCCUCUUGGAUAUCAAAGAAGCAAGAACAGGGGAAGUUGCACCUGCCCCCCAGCUCCGCCCCUGCACUGCCUGCACUCCCUGUGAGCCCCGGGAUACCACACGCAACUCGCAGCUGUUCUUCUCUUCCAGAGAAUGGGUACAACGUGGGGCAGACCAGGAGGGGGUCCAUAUUCAAUACAUUUCCACGGGUAUAACAGCCGCCUCCUCGGGGCCAGGCAAAGCCAGAGCUGCGGAGAGACUGGACCCGGCCCUGCCCUUGAGCAAAUGUGGGGGCUGGAGACCAACAAGGGCCACACGCUGAUGGGCAGAGGGGAACACAGGCUGAGGGAGCACAAGGGACUUCCCACCCCUCCCAGGGGCAGAAAGGGGAGGUGCUUGGGGAGUGCCAUGUGACAAGGGCAAAUACAAGAGGACAUUCUGGGGUAGGGAUGGAAUCAGCCAAGACCUGGAGGCAAGAGUCAAAGGGGAGCCUGGGCUAGAGGAGGGAGGGACCCAGGAAGCGGUGGCAGCUGUCCCAGCACCUCCGGAGUCCAGAGCAGAGCCCCAGGGAAGGGCAGGCCUGGCAAGCCCGGUCAGAUCCCUUGGGACAGAGGGAUGGUGAAGAGGUAGGAAGGCCAAGCCUCCGUGACUUGCAGAUACAGUCACAGUAGCUCGUCCCAGCCACUUGACACGUCUCCUUCAGUCUUCGUGGCCCCGCCAGCUCAGUGUGAAGCGGUGGGCAGGGACCGGGACCCAGUGGGCUCCACAGGCUGCUACUGUCCCCUCCAGCUGAACGCGUGAUUUCCUCAACAUCCCUGAGCUCUGCGUCCUAUCUGAAUAAGAGAAAGUACCGCCUGACCCGGUCCCAGUGAGGAUCAAGUCAACUGUCGACCGGACCUGAAAAUCGGGCUCUCUGUCCUUGGCUCACGCUGCUGGAACUCAUUAGAAUUCUCCCAGGGUGGCUCCGGCAUCUGCUGGAUCCUCUGUGUCUUCCUCUGUCUGUGACAGCCACCUAAGAGCUGCCCUACACCAAUAACUCUGUCCAAACCCAGCUUGGAUUUGUGGGCACUGGGACACAGGUGACCCCAUCCACACGAGGACCUCACAGAGGGCCCAGGUGCCACGGCUAGUAGCAAGAGUACUGGUUUGAGUCAGACUAUCUGGCCCCAGGGCCAGGUCAAUGUUGGGGCCAGAGCCAAAUACGGAGAAGAAGGGAGGAAAUUUGGGCUUGCUCCUGGGACCCAGGAAAGGAAUGAAUGGGGGGGGGGGGGUCUUGGCUCUCUGGCUGUAGAAGCCCAAACCCAGACCCUUGCUGCUCCAACUGGGAGGCCUGUGGGAGGCUCAGAUAAGAUGCCUGGGACACAGGCCUGGGUCCCCACACAGACACCUGACCGGGACCCAGCAGACAGCAGGGCCCCCAGGGUGGGCCAGACCCUGGAACGAGCGCCCUGGGGAGGCGAAGGCACUAGGCACCCAUUCAGAGAGGGCAACUCCUUCAAAGGCAAUGAGAGCUGAAGGCUGGCCAUCCCUGUGCCCCACCUCAUGUCUGUCACUCCUGCAUUGCGCCGCGCCCCAAGCCCGGUCCACCUGUCUCCCCAAAUCCAGCCCCUCACAUCCUCACGUCCUUCCAUGGGGUUCCUGCUCCCCACACUGCAGUCGUGGUGCCCCUGCCCUGCGUGGAGACCCUCGGUGUCUCCCCACUGCCCCUAUGUCUGCAUCCUGCCCCUCCCACCCAGGAUACACCUGCUCAGGCAACCUAUCCCUCCUGGGCCCCCCCACCGGAAUGGAGCUGUGCUAGUCUGCCUCCCUCCGCCCGUGGCCGGUAAGCGGCGCGGCCCUGAGCCUGUGAACCUCGGGUGGGAUCAAGAGCCAAGGGGGUAGCCGGCAGGCCUGGGCCUGGGCUGGGGGCCUGGGCAGGGUGCUUGACCUGUCGCCUCACUUGGAAGACGAGGGUAAAGUCACCCGCCUUGUUAGGUUGCGCUGAUCACAUGGGAUAAGGAUAGUGGGCUGCUGAGUGCUGGCUGUGACUCUCAGGAAGUACAAAUCAGUGACGGUCCCCAGGAGACCCAGGAGGCUCCUGCCCGAGCCCCUCCUUGAUACUGGUGUCCCCAGGCUACUCACUGCCAGGCCCCAGCUCCAU